ACUUCCCCUUGCCGUUCACCAUAGUGGGUCCGCGCUCUAGUGCUUAACCGUAUAAAUGGCCUUUUAAGUGAAUUCCAUAUUAAUAAAUCUUGUUUAUUUUUGUACUGGAAUCACGUCUCUGUCUUUACUUAUCUUAUCUGUGUGUCUCAUCAAAUACACUUGGGUUUAUAACAUAUCUUGGCGUGAAAGGCCCCAAGUGGCGUAGUCGUGCACUUAUAUGUACCCUAUAGGUACAGUCGGUCACACUUUAUCUGCCAAGUAAUUGUCAAAUACAUAGCGAAGUUUGCAUGGAAGAGACUGACGUGACGGAAUUGCCUUUCAUUAAGUCAGUGAUCUUUGUAAGUAGGACAAAUGUCUUUUUUUGGAUAACUGAAAAGUGUAGUCAGGUUAAUAGGGCAUAGAUCACUCUGAAAGUAAUCCCCAACAAAAUCAUUCUUUAUGUUAUUGUUAUAGUUUUUGUGUGGACUUGUGGCACCCCCAACCAGCCUUGCAAAUGGUUGGCUGUGUAUGGGACCAAGGAUGCAGAGGACGAGAAGGGUGUGCGAUAUAUGACUGGAAUGGUCAGAUAAGAUCAUUUUUUAUGUUUGAGGAGCACACGAUGGGGCCCUUACACAAAUGGAGUUGUGUUGAUCCAACAUCUUCCACACCUCCCAUAACACUCCCGACUCCAGCCAAAUGUUGCAUCCUCCUUACCAUGUCCCUCUUAUAGGUGUACACGGAGGGCUACCCAUCCCUUCCACAUUGUGUCUUUUGUGUAGUACACACGUAUUGUUCAAACUUUGGAAGCGGAAAUCUUUUUAUUUUUUGGAAACCUAAAUGAGUGUCAGACCUCCUUUUUAUGUUGCAGUGCUACCAUACCUUCCUCCCAGUCUUUUUUGCAUUUGUUCCUGUUUUAAACACACAUUGAAAACUUAAUAAAAAUUCUAUUGAAAACCUAA